rnacentral:rRNA from 1 species
GACGAACGCUGGCGGCGUGCUUAGCACAUGCAAGUCGUACGGUAAGGCCCUUUCGGGGGUACACGAGUGGCGAACGGGUGCGUAACACGUGAGUAACCUGCCCACAACUUUGGGAUAACGCUAGGAAACUGGUGCUAAUACUGGAUAUGUGCUCCUGCUGCAUGGUGGGGGUUGGAAAGCUCCGGCGGUUGUGGAUGGACUCGCGGCCUAUCAGCUUGUUGGUGGGGUAGUGGCCUACCAAGGCGGCGACGGGUAGCCGGCCUGAGAGGGUGACCGGCCACAUUGGGACUGAGAUACGGCCCAGACUCCUACGGGAGGCAGCAGUGGGGAAUAUUGCACAAUGGGCGCAAGCCUGAUGCAGCAACGCCGCGUGCGGGAUGACGGCCUUCGGGUUGUAAACCGCGUUCAGCAGGGACGAAGCUUUUUGUGACGGUACCUGCAGAAGAAGCACCGGCUAACUACGUG